GAUGAACGCUGGCGGCGUGCCUAACACAUGCAAGUCGAACGGACUUACAUUGAAGCCUAGCGAUAUGUAAGUUAGUGGCGGACGGGUGAGUAACGCGUGGGUAACCUGCCUUGUACUGGGGGACAACAGUUGGAAACGACUGCUAAUACCGCAUAAGCGCACAGCUUCGCAUGAAGCAGUGUGAAAAACUCCGGUGGUAUAAGAUGGACCCGCGUCUGAUUAGCUUGUUGGUGAGGUAACGGCCCACCAAGGCGACGAUCAGUAGCCGGCCUGAGAGGGUGAACGGCCACAUUGGGACUGAGACACGGCCCAAACUCCUACGGGAGGCAGCAGUGGGGAAUAUUGCACAAUGGGGGAAACCCUGAUGCAGCGACGCCGCGUGAGCGAUGAAGUAUUUCGGUAUGUAAAGCUCUAUCAGCAGGGAAGAAAAUGACGGUACCUGACUAAGAAGCACCGGCUAAAUACGUGCCAGCAGCCG
rnacentral:rRNA from 1 species